UACGAAGGGGGCUAGCGUUGUUCGGAAUUGCUGGGCGUAAAGCACACGUAGGCGGGUUGUUAAGUCAGGGGUGAAAUCCUGGAGCUCAACCCUGGGAUGCCGGUGGAUACUGUCGGGCUAGAGUCCGGAAGAGGCGAGUGGAAUUCCUGGUGUAGCGGUGGAAUGCGCAGAUAUCAGGAGGAACACCAAUAGCGAAGGCAGCUCGCUGGGACGGUACUGACGCUGAGGCGCGAAAAGCGUGGGGAGCGAACAGG
rnacentral:rRNA from 1 species